GAUGAACGCUGGCGGCGUGCCUAACACAUGCAAGUCGAGCGGCAGCACUGGAGCAAUCCUGGUGGCGAGCGGCGGACGGGUGAGUAAUGCUUUGGAACCUGCCCAUCAAUGGGGGACAACCCGGGGAAACUCGGGCUAAUACCGCAUACGUCCUACGGGAGAAAGCGGGGGAUCGCAAGACCUCGCGUUGAUGGAUGAGCCAAAGUCGGAUUAGCUAGUUGGUGAGGUAAUGGCUCACCAAGGCGACGAUCCGUAGCUGGUCUGAGAGAACGACCAGCCACACCGGAACUGAGACACGGUCCGGACUCCUACGGGAGGCAGCAGUGGGGAAUAUUGGACAAUGGGGGAAACCCUGAUCCAGCGACGCCGCGUGGGUGAAGAAGGCCUGCGGGUUGUAAAGCCCUUUCGUUGGGGAAGAAAAGUUGCUACCUAACACGUAGCGACCUUGACGUUACCCAAAGAAGAAGCACCGGCUAACUAUGUGCC
rnacentral:rRNA from 1 species